UUGUACUUGGAUAUCUAUAUCUUUCCCUGAUUUGAGAAUGUUCUAUUAUAGUUUCAGUGAAUACAUUUUUGAGACCUAUAGCCAGUUUUAACUUAGCUCUUCUUCAUACCCCAUGGUUCCUAAGAUUUAAUCUCUAGAUUACUUGUCAGAAUUCAUGAAUUUGUGGUCAUGCUUAUUUUUCUUUACUGAUAUCUAACUUCUCAAACAAGUAUCCUAUGCCAAAUAUUUUUAUUUUGGUUGAAAAAUAUAAAUUCACUAUAAGUUUGAUGAAAUUUACAAAAGUAUUUCCCACAUAUCCUGUCUAUUAAAUUCACUUUCAAAUCACACACACACACACACACACACACACACAAACACACACACACACUUUCAAAUCCUUUAAAUAUUGACCCUCUCAUUAUGAGUUACUCAAGCUCUUUAAAGUUUAUCUUUUAAUUUGUAGUUAGGACAUCUAGAAUUCAACUCCCUUUAGUGGUACAGGAGAGCUAAACAUGAUGCUGCCCAGGAUGCAUUUGCCCAGUUCCUGGAGCAGUAGUGAUCACAGAAUGGACCACAGCAGCUCUUACGCACUCAGCCGCAUGUCCACAAGCACCUGACCUCUAGAGACCAAGCAUAGGGAUAGGAAACUUGGAGAAAUGAAUUAUUGAGAAAGCUGUGGCUGCCUUCUCUGCUUAGAUAGAAAUUGGCCUAAAUCAGACACCCUCAAGGGUGGAUGAGUCUUUUGUUGACUCUAAGGUAAGACACAUUCACUGUAGGUAGAACAUGAGAUGUCCGAAGUCUUAAAUCAGCCCAUCUGAAAUUUUUUCCAUUAACCAUAUCUUUUGGGCAACAUUCUGGCAAUUUUUAUGCAUGGACAUAUAGAUACAGAAGAAAAGCAGGGAAUCUGGAAUAUAGUAUUUCAGGUAUGGUAAAAAAAAUGUAUACUUCACAAUAUAUACUUUGGUAUCUUUGUGUGUAAAACUAUAUGAUAACUGUUAUCUAUAAAGUCUCAAAAAUCAAUUAUUCUUGGGUUUUGAGCCUCAUAAUUUUUAAUAUGGCUUCUCUGGUCUCUGUGUCAAGACUUCAUAUAUAUUAAUUCACACAUACUUUCAAAUAAUGUGCAUGGAUAACUAACUAGUGCCUUAAUUUCUUUUAGCUUUCACAACUAUUAAUGUUAAUCCCAGAGAUAGUGUUUUGCGGCAUGAAAAUGUUAACAAUGCUACUGAUCUGGAAGAUUGCAUGAAAGGAAGAAAGGGUAUGUUGUCAUCGUCGUUUCCUCUCUUUCCCUUUAUCUUGUCAUAGAGAACAUGAUCUCAAUCAUCAUAAGUUUGAAUUUCUCUGCUUUAAAGAAAGGCCAUAAUGGCUGGAACUGCAGUUUAGACUGAGUGACACUAUAUCUUAAACCCAUCGUUUCCUAGUCAUAUCAACAAUUUGUCUUUGUGCGAUACGAUUUUGACUAGGGGCUCCAGAUUUUUUACUACUUUUUCCCCCUACUAAUCACAUUUCCUAAUACCUACAGAGUCCAUUUUAGACAAAAGGCCCUUGAGCUGGGUUCUGUGUGUGUAUCUUGUGUAUCUGUCUCUCUUGUGACUCCUCUCAUACACUGUAAUUGUUUCCUCCAUUGUUUAGAUGUGGCUAGUGAGCUAAUAUUAAGUCCUCUGUACAUGUCACACAUUCAGAUCUGGGGUACAACUCAGAUCAUCAAACAGCAACUGAUGUCCUCGCAGUUUUGCAUUUUCCCCCUAAGUCACAGAAUAAGGUAUUGUCUUCUGUGCAUUGCUAUAUGAAUGGGGAAGAACAUGGGUUUCACACUGUAUCUGCCUAGUGGUCCAGUCUUCCUAGUGAUCCUUCUGUACAUAUAUGCAAGAGUGACGUCCAUUCUGUCAGCAGAGUGUGCUUCACCUGGCAAUGGAGAAUGAUUACCUAAAUUCCCAGUUACUCAUGAGAGUGCCACGGUGUCAGAUACCCAGCAUACUCACCAUGUUUAGUCAUCAGAGUGAGUACUAGUUUCUGCUCCUUCCCCCUGAUAUACACACCAAAAUGAAACUCAUACAUCUAUUCUAGGGCUAACUGCUCUUCCAUCUCCUCAGGGCCAUGAACUCAGAAUCUGAUGUACCACAUGAGGAAUGGACCUGACCAAGGACAGAGUUAAAAAUUUCAUUACUUGAGAUCUCUUAUCUUUAUGCCAGAAACAAUCAUGGCCUUGACUCAUUAAGUAGCUAUUUUUGUGGCUCUCCAAUUCCAUCACUACAUUAAUUGACAACAGCAAAUAUUUCUUAUCAAAGUCCAAUUAGCCAUUAUAUACUAGUGAGAGCCUUGAGAGAGACAGGCGAGUGUCUUGGGAAACCUGGAUUGACAGGGUGCCUCAGGCUUUUCUUUAGUGCUUGCUUCUACAGUGUCCUAUUAAUCCCACUGUGCUAGCACUGGGUUUCCAUAGUCCAUGUCUCCUGGAGGAGCACUACAGGCUUCUACAGUGCUUCAGAUGUUCUAUGUUGUAUUUGUGCUUUUAUUUUUUUUUAUGUCUGCGCUGUUAUUUUUACUUGGAAAUAUAUAAAGAAAUUAGGUAACAUUUCUUUACAGUCACUUCUGUAGACUUAUGCUGUGGGUUACUCAAUACAUAUUAGGCAAACUCUUUUUUUUCUGUGCCCACUGUUUGAUUGCAAAUAGAAAUGAAAAAUCUUCUUCUACAAAAAGCUAUGAAUUUGUGAAAAAGGGAAACAUUUUAUGUGCAAAGAUAUCAGAAUAUUAUUUAGAAUUUGCUUUGUACGUGAUGGAUAUUAUGUUACUAUUUAGAUAUGCCAGAAUGAAAAUUUCUAAACUUAUACCCCACUUAACCUUCAAAUGGAUGCAUCUAUCCCGAAUGCAAAUUCUCUUUUCAGUAGUAGGAAGAUUACAAAUGAACUUAUCAAAUGUUGUUGUUAAUUUGACUUCUAAGAUGAGUCCUCUUGCUCCUUCUGCUAAGAGUGGUCAGUGGUGAGUUGUCCCUCAAUGUAGGUCACC
rnacentral:lncRNA from 1 species